rnacentral:rRNA from 1 species
CAGCCGCCGCGGUAAUACGUAGGUGGCAAGCGUUGUCCGGAAUUAUUGGGCGUAAAGCGCGCGCAGGUGGUUUAAUAAGUCUGAUGUGAAAGCCCACGGCUCAACCGUGGAGGGUCAUUGGAAACUGUUAAACUUGAGUGCAGGAGAGAAAAGUGGAAUUCCUAGUGUAGCGGUGAAAUGCGUAGAGAUUAGGAGGAACACCAGUGGCGAAGGCGGCUUUUUGGCCUGUAACUGACACUGAGGCGCGAAAGCGUGGGGAGCAAACAGGAUUAGAUACCCGAGUAGUCCCUGUCUCUUAUAC